rnacentral:rRNA from 1 species
CAUGCAAGUCGAACGGUAACAGGGUGCUUGCACCGCUGACGAGUGGCGAACGGGUGAGUAAUGCGUCGGAAUGUACCGUGUAAUGGGGGAUAGCUCGGCGAAAGCCGGAUUAAUACCGCAUACGCCCUGAGGGGGAAAGUGGGGGACCGUAAGGCCUCACGUUAUACGAGCAGCCGACGUCUGAUUAGCUAGUUGGUGAGGUAAGAGCUCACCAAGGCGACGAUCAGUAGCGGGUCUGAGAGGAUGAUCCGCCACACUGGGACUGAGACACGGCCCAGACUCCUACGGGAGGCAGCAGUGGGGAAUUUUGGACAAUGGGCGCAAGCCUGAUCCAGCCAUGCCGCGUGUCUGAAGAAGGCCUUCGGGUUGUAAAGGACUUUUGUUCGGGAGGAAAUCCCGCUGGUUAAUACCUGGCGGGGAUGACAGUACCGGAAGAAUAAGCACCGGCUAACUACGUGCCAGCAGCCGCGGUAAUACGUAGGGUGCAAGCGUUAAUCGGAAUUACUGGGCGUAAAGCGUGCGCAGGCGGUUGUGCAAGUCUGAUGUGAAAGCCCCGGGCUUAACCUGGGAACGGCAUUGGAGACUGCACGACUAGAGUGCGUCAGAGGGGGGUAGAAUUCCACGUGUAGCAGUGAAAUGCGUAGAGAUGUGGAGGAAUACAGAUGGCGAAGGCAGCCCCCUGGGAUGACACUGACGCUCAUGCACGAAAGCGUGGGGAUGCAAACAGGAUUAGAUACCCUGGUAGUCCACGCCCUAAACGAUGUCAACUAGCUGUUGGGGGUUUGAAUCCUUGGUAGCGUAGCUAACGCGUGAAGUUGACCGCCUGGGGAGUACGGCCGAAAGGUUAAAACUCAAAGGAAUUGACGGGGACCCGCACAAGCGGUGGAUGAUGUGGAUUAAUUCGAUGCAACGCGAAAAACCUUACCUGCUCUUGACAUGUACGGAACUUGCUAGAGAUAGCUUGGUGCCCGAAAGGGAGCCGUAACACAGGUGCUGCAUGGCUGUCGUCAGCUCGUGUCGUGAGAUGUUGGGUUAAGUCCCGCAACGAGCGCAACCCUUGUCAUUAGUUGCCAUCAUUAAGUUGGGCACUCUAAUGAGACUGCCGGUGACAAACCGGAGGAAGGUGGGGAUGACGUCAAGUCCUCAUGGCCCUUAUGAGCAGGGCUUCACACGUCAUACAAUGGUCGGUACAGAGGGUUGCCAAGCCGCGAGGUGGAGCUAAUCUCAGAAAACCGAUCGUAGUCCGGAUCGCACUCUGCAACUCGAGUGCGUGAAGUCGGAAUCGCUAGUAAUCGCAGAUCAGCAUGCUGCGGUGAAUACGUUCCCGGGUCUUGUACACACCGCCCGUCACACCAUGGGAGUGAGUUUCACCAGAAGUGGGUAGGCUAACCGUAAGGAGGCCGCUUACCACGGUGGGAUUCAUG